rnacentral:rRNA from 1 species
GACGAACGCUGGCGGCGUGCUUAACACAUGCAAGUCGAACGGAAAGGCCCUGCUUUUGUGGGGUGCUCGAGUGGCGAACGGGUGAGUAACACGUGAGUAACCUGCCCUUGACUUUGGGAUAACUUCAGGAAACUGGGGCUAAUACCGGAUAGGAGCUCCUGCUGCAUGGUGGGGGUGGGAAAGUUUCGGCGGUUGGGGAUGGACUCGCGGCUGAUCAGCUUGUUGGUGGGGUAGUGGCUUACCAAGGCUUUGACGGGUAGCCGGCCUGAGAGGGUGACCGGCCACAUUGGGACUGAGAUACGGCCCAGACUCCUACGGGAGGCAGCAGUGGGGAAUAUUGCACAAUGGGCGGACGCCUGAUGCAGCAACGCCGCGUGCGGGAUGACGGCCUUCGGGUUGUAAACCGCUUUCGCCUGUGACGAAGCGUGAGUGACGGUAAUGGGUAAAGAAGCACCGGCUAACUACGUG